UACGUAGGGGGCAAGCGUUUGUCCGGAAUUACUGGGCGUAAAGCGUGCGUAGGCGGUUCGUUAAGUCUGUUGUGAAAGCCCCGGGCUCAACCUGGGAAUGGCAAUGGAUACUGGCGAGCUAGAGUGUGUCAGAGGAUGGUGGAAUUCCCGGUGUAGCGGUGAAAUGCGUAGAGAUCGGCAGGAACACCCAGGGGGAAACCAGCCGACUGGGCAUCGUACUGACGCUGGAGGUGCGAGAGCGUGGGGAGCGAACCGG
rnacentral:rRNA from 1 species